AUAGUCCGGGAUGAUAACUGAAGGAAUAGCAUAUACAUUAUAAGCUUUAAUAAAGGCAACAAAUUAUAAUAAUACAUAGUGGUCAAACUUGGUUUAGUACAUUAGAAAAGAUUAUUAGUAAAAUGGUUGUUGUCAUGUAAUCGAUUGCUAUAAAACGGACGCAAAACCUAACCCAAUGCAAAUCGGAAUAUUGCUGUCAUAGAAACAAAAGUCAAAUCAAUCUUUUCGGCGAAAUGUAUGACUAAUAAAAAUAUACUUCUUAUAGCAUAUUUUCCAUAUUCUAAACAUAUUUCAAGUUAAUAAACAAGUAUUGCUACUAGCUCCUUGAUGUUACUUUAGCACCAAGUUUGAUUAAAAUGGGUUCUGCAGCAGAAAAUGUGUAUGGUGAGCAUCAGUUGGAGCACUUCACUCAGCGGUAUUCGUGGGACUGUGGCGUGGCCUGCGUCACAAUGCUGCUGGACCCAGCACAGCGCCAGGAGCUGCUAGACAACUUUGAGCAGAUCUGCAAGGAGGAGGGCUUCGGACAAAUCACAUGGACCAUUGAUCUCUGUUAUCUGUUGAAGAAGUUUGAGAUCCCUCACUGCAUGCAUACCACUAUGAUGGGGGUGAAUGAGGCCCACAGGAAACACAAUUACUACCGGAAUAUCAUUGAUAAGGACCGCCUCCGCAUCUCUCAACGCUUCGACUCCGCAAACGCCGUAGGCAUAGAGUUGGUAGAAGGCCACCUGCCAAUGGACGCCAUAGUGCGUCAUCUGCGUCAUGGCCCAGCCUUAUUACUCAUCGACGCAGGACUGCUGUCGUGCGACAUCUGUAAACACAACAAGCUCAAGGCGGACUUCCGGCGCUGUUUCGGCGGCUCUUUCACCGGCCACUUCGUCCUACUAGUGGGCGUCCGUCGCAACAAACUGCUGUACCGCGACCCCGCCUUAAGGCCACGCACAUGUGCCACCAGCAUGGCGCGCAUGGAGAGGGCUAGAGCCCCGCCUACUGAUAGAGACGUUAUACUUGUGUAUAAGGAGUAUAGGAGGUGACGAGCUCUACCAGAUACCGACCUCGCCUUAAGGCAACGCACAUGUGACACCAGCCUGGGGCGCAUGGAGAGGGCUAGAGCCCCGCCUACUGAUAGAGACGUUAUACUUGUGUAUAAGGAGUACAGGAGGUGACACAAGAGACAGGGUUUUAUUUUAUUUAUUGUUACUUAUUUACAAGAGUGUGUUCCGAAAAAAGAUUAUUAUGAACAUAUAAUAUUCAAAAAUUCAUUUAGUCAUAAUAAUAUAUGAAAUCCACGUUUUGAUGAUAAUCAUGUGACAAGAGAAAACUGAUUUUUAUUUUUUAAUUAUUUUGUUGAUGUAAUUUUGAGAAUAGGUUAUUUAUUUUGCCAUUAAGUUUACCUUUUCUUGUAUGUGCUAAGAGCAAAGUGCUGACAUAUUUAUUUCAAAGAGAUACAGCAAUGUAUUUAAUUUUAUAUAAUAGAUAUAUAAAUUUAUGUUCUCUCUACCUACACUAAUAUGAUCAAAUCUAAACAUAUACGAAUUAAUUAUUAUGUCCAUGACAAAAGAGUUUUUUUUUUAAUAAAUUGUUUAUAAUAUAUUAAUUAAUGCAAAAUAGCCGUAUCAAUGACAGACGAGUA